GAUGAACGCUGGCGGCGUGCCUAAUACAUGCAAGUCGAGCGAACGGACGAGAAGCUUGCUUCUCUGAUGUUAGCGGCGGACGGGUGAGUAACACGUGGAUAACCUACCUAUAAGACUGGGAUAACUUCGGGAAACCGGAGCUAAUACCGGAUAAUAUUUUGAACCGCAUGGUUCAAAAGUGAAAGACGGUCUUGCUGUCACUUAUAGAUGGAUCCGCGCUGCAUUAGCUAGUUGGUAAGGUAACGGCUUACCAAGGCAACGAUGCAUAGCCGACCUGAGAGGGGGAUAGGCCACACUGGAACUGGACCACGGUCCAGACUCCUACGGGAGGCAGCAGUAGGGAAUCUUCCGCAAUGGGCGAAAGCCUGACGGAGCAACGCCGCGUGAGUGAUGAAGGUCUUCGGAUCGUAAAACUCUGUUAUUAGGGAAGAACAUAUGUGUAAGUAACUGUGCACAUCUUGACGGUACCUAAUCAGAAAGCCACGGCUAACUACGUG
rnacentral:rRNA from 1 species